CAGCAGCCACGGGAAUACGAAGGGGGCUAGCGUUGUUCGGAUUAACUGGGCGUAAAGGGCGCGUAGGCGGGUUUUUAAGUCAGAGGUGAAAUCCCAAGGCUCAACCUUGGAACUGCCUUUGAUACUGGAAGUCUUGAGUCCGGGAGAGGUGAGUGGAACUGCGAGUGUAGAGGUGAAAUUCGUAGAUAUUCGCAAGAACACCAGUGGCGAAGGCGGCUCACUGGCCCGGUACUGACGCUGAGGCGCGAAAGCGUGGGGAGCAAACAGGAUUAGAUACCCCCGUAGUCCCUGUCUCUUAUAA
rnacentral:rRNA from 1 species